rnacentral:rRNA from 1 species
UCCGUAGGGUGCAAGCGUUAAUCGGAAUUACUGGGCGUAAAGCGUGCGCAGGCGGUGAUGUAAGACAGUUGUGAAAUCCCCGGGCUCAACCUGGGAACUGCAUCUGUGACUGCAUCGCUGGAGUACGGCAGAGGGGGAUGGAAUUCCGCGUGUAGCAGUGAAAUGCGUAGAUAUGCGGAGGAACACCGAUGGCGAAGGCAAUCCCCUGGGCCUGUACUGACGCUCAUGCACGAAAGCGUGGGGAGCAAACAGG